UUAUGUUAGCAAGCUUUGUUUGGUUUUUGCCGGCAAUCUGCCAGCUUAAUCGGUAAUAACAACUCUUGUACCAAAUUUGUAGCCUUUUUGCUGACAAUAAUUUGUAGCAAGCACUUGGCAAUAUCUGUUAGAACAGACGUGGCUGACUGGAACACAUAUAUAUAUCAGUAUAGUGAGAGCGCUGCUUCUAACCUCAAAAUUAAAGCAAUACGAACAACGUGUGUACGAGAAAGCAUCAAUUAUUGCAAUUAUUAAUCAAUUUUAAGAGAGAUCAUAAUUAAUUCUCGAACAGAUUCUACGAUUGAUAAAAUACAAGCCGUUAUUAAAUCAUGGUUACAACAUGCUGGCGAUCGUCUUCCUAAAGAAGAAGGAACAAAAAAAAGAAAUAACAACUUAAAAUAAUUUUUCAUUAAAUAUUUUACUUAUUCAAACAUAUUUUAGUAAUGUGAAAACAAGAAUAUUUCUUUUUUUUUAAUGAUUAUUAGUUUAUAUAAGA